ACAGGCCCCAGAGGCUUUAUUUGUAUUAUUUCUGGAGAGGAAGGAUUUAAGCAAAAGAUAAAUGGAGUGGUGAUGGUGGGGGGGGAGAAGUCCUUGUGCCUACAAGGCAUUUAUUUGACAGUAAAACUACUAGUGUGCUAUUUUGUGAUUGUAUUUAAAAAUAUGUAAAUGUCUUAAUAGAACCAGAAAAAGGCCAGCCUAGGUGGGAUUUCCAAGUUAACUGUUUUUUGCUAGUGAUGUGUAAUAUCCUGUAUAUUUGCAACACACCACUCAAGCACCCUGUCUGACAUAGAGCUGUCCCAGUGAUUCGCUGUUUGGUGAUAUGAGGGCUGCAUCCUUGUAGGCAUGAAGCACUGUCAGGACCCAAGUGCCUGGGGUCACCAUCACAGAGGAAGGAGGCUCCAUCCCAACUCCCUCAAGGAGCACCCUGCAGGGUCCUGGUGGGGCGCUUUGCACUGCCAGAAGUGCAGCUCCAGGCAUCCCCCCAGGCAGGGAGCAGGGGCAGGUCCCUAGGACUGCAUUUCCACCCACCAUCUGCAAGGCUGCUGCCGUCUGGGGAUGCUGGAACUCAUCGCUGUGACAUUUGGAGAGUCCACAUUAUCUGCCAGGGAAGAGCCAGUCCUGCUCAGAUGGGUUUCAGCAGCCCUGUGGAAACCGUUGCCUCCAGGUUAACUGUGACCCCACCCAGGAGUCUCUCUACAGAAAGCCAAUUGCUUCAUCUGGACCAACGUUGAAAUACUGAGUUGAGCUGGGCUUCUUUCUAUUCCCUACAUUCUACUAAGCCAAUAACUUCCAGUCUAAAGAAAGCAAAGGGGUAAAGCUUUACUGCUUCACCUUCCCAGGCUUGAGUUCAUUGCACAUCCCAAAUGUCCUCCGUUGGAUCUUUAGGUAUCAGAAAAAUGUUGGAUCAAUUCCUUUUCCUUGAAAAUUCAAGAUUUAGUCAGACAUCUACUGCAACACUUUUCAGCCCCAGUCUGCAGACACUACCUGCUCCAGGAAUGACAAGCUGACAUGGUUGUAUGCUCAAUUAAACCUGCUCUUCCUUUUUAAACAAGUGCUUUAGACUUCUAAAUUAUGUGCAAAGUUUUCUUGUACACUUUGACUACAUUAAACUGAAGAUGCCAAACUUUGGCUGCAAACCUUAUCUUGGUUAUUUGGAGAGGAAAGACUAACACAGCUUUUUUGACAGAUAUUGAAGACAAAUAAAAAUUGCUUUAGAGGUUUUUCUUUUUUAUGGAAAGCACACAGCUUUCCUGGGAAACGAUUCUAAAAUUUGUGAUGUAUAAAGCAAAGUACAAGAGCCCUACUUUCCAGAAGUCUCAAGAGCAAGCAGUUCCAGCUGACGUCAGCUGGAGAUGGAGAACCAUUACCUGAAAAUCUAGUUGUGAUGUUCCACAAAACUUGCUUUGAAAACUUUACCAACUAUUCAACACUAUACUGAGAUUGCAGGUGUCGUAUUUUCACUUUAGGGCUCUUUUCUUACAAUUAGACUCCCAUGAAUGGGCCUUUUACUUCAUGUAGAACCCCGCUGAGGUCAUCAAAGGAUUUGCGUCUAAAAACAGAGUAAGAAGAGUCAAGCAAGCAUCUCUGUCUCCAAAAGUCAUUUUAAUUUUCUUUUAAAUGGCUAGGUGGUGAGAUUUUUUCCAGUGAAUAAAAGGUGCAUGAGGGUCUUUCAGAAAAUGAAGGUCAUCACCAAUUCCUUACUUGACAGAUUCAAACUUCCAGGAAAGACCACCUCCCACCCACUGAGCCUUUCUGAGGAGUAGUAGAGGGUGAUAGCCUACCUGCCCUUCUCUGACAUGAGCAGCCACAGAGGGACAUGUCAUGUCUGUUGCCAUGUCAAGAGUCUGCUGUAAUUCAGAAGGCUGCCGUGAGACAUCUGUGUCUGAGAUGCAAAAUCCUGAAUGGAAAGGCCAAUGUAGGAAUAGCACUACUGAACUGAAGUGCUUCAGAUGUGUUGGCCUUUAUUGUAAGAAUCAGUCAUGUUCCCUGGUCUUCCCACCCCAGCUGAGAAGGGAGGAUGAACCACUUUUUUCAUAGACAUUAUAUUGGUUCAAAUUUAAUCUUUACCAGAAUUUGCUGACUAAUCAAGGAUCUUUGUGUGGAACUCAGCUACAAAGAGAAGAAAACAUCACUAUCAGCAGGCACUGACAAGUGACGAAAGGAGACUGGUUGUUGUGUCUGGACAUAUUGGCUGAUGGUGGUCAAGGGACAGCCAGACCUGCUCUGUUACAGCUCAGAGCAUGGCUCCUAGUGAAAGACACCCGUAUGGUGCUGGGCUUUAUUUGGGAGGCUGAACUGUGUUUCCCUUGUGCUCACUUGCAGAGUACAGCCUGAUGUUGCUGUGGCACCCCCUGGGCUGGGGUGGUCGCUGACAGUGCCCACAACGUGAAAAGUCCUGUGCAACGAGACAAGAAUAAAUGGCACAGGCAGUAGAAGUCAUCAGCUACCAUCAGAAAUGUAAUGGGGGUGAAUGUCAGACCAUUCUACCUGGUUUGUCUUGCUCACCCUUUUCAGGGGAUGGGGACACUGUCCUGUCAGUGUCCCACACUCUGCUCUAAGGCCUAACCCUUGCACCUGAACUAACCCAAGGGGGGGACUGGGGACUCGUAGCUGGUGGUAGGGGAAGGUGCACUGUUUGAUAACGUGUCAUGAUAAUAAUCCACCAACUCUGUGAAGACUCAAGAAUAAAACUCUUCCAAAAAUAAAAAAUAAAAAAAAGAGCUGGGAGUCAUUCAAGUCCAUCCCAACCAUUCUUCAAUAGUAGUUAAUAUGAUUUGCAGCCAGCGGCUUUAAGCAAUACAGAGUCAGAGAAGAUGAGGAUAUGGCUGUGGCAUAUCUAAUUUUCUGUCUCUAGGUAGCUCUUCCUAGGAAAUGCCUUCAAAGCCUCUGGACUGAUAAGAAGAAGCAGCAGAGUAAGGUUUCCUUCUAGAAAGGACAGAAGCAGAAGAGGUCUCUUGACAGGCCACAUUUUUCAGUAGGGCAGCAGGGUAGGGCCUUCAGGCCUAUGCAGUAGAAACAUCAACCUGUCACUUAAAUUUACAAAAAUUUACAGUGAGUCGGAAGCAGAGAAACUCUAUCCACCUGCUGGAAAUGAUAGAAAAGUCUCUGUCCCUAAGCAGAGGAGGAACCUCUGCACCCAGAGAGCCUGUAGGAUCUACCACAAGGAAUGUCUCUGGGCACAAACACUAGAAAGGCAGCUGACAACUACUGAUUGCUAAAGACCAACUAA